GGGUUGUGAGGUUAAGCGACUAAGCGUACACGGUGGAUGCCCUGGCAGUCAGAGGCGAUGAAGGACGUGCUAAUCUGCGAUAAGCGUCGGUAAGGUGAUAUGAACCGUUAUAACCGGCGAUUUCCGAAUGGGGAAACCCAGUGUGUUUCGAUACACUAUCAUUAACUGAAUCCAUAGGUUAAUGAGGCGAACCGGGGGAACUGAAACAUCUAAGUACCCCGAGGAAAAGAAAUCAACCGAGAUUCCCCCAGUAGCGGCGAGCGAACGGGGAGCAGCCCAGAGCCUGAAUCAGUGUGUGUGUUAGUGGAAGCGUCUGGAAAGGCGCGCGAUACAGGGUGACAGCCCCGUACACAAAAAUGCACAUGCUGUGAGCUCGAUGAGUAGGGCGGGACACGUGGUAUCCUGUCUGAAUAUGGGGGGACCAUCCUCCAAGGCUAAAUACUCCUGACUGACCGAUAGUGAACCAGUACCGUGAGGGAAAGGCGAAAAGAACCCCGGCGAGGGGAGUGAAAAAGAACCUGAAACCGUGUACGUACAAGCAGUGGGAGCACGCUUAGGCGUGUGACUGCGUACCUUUUGUAUAAUGGGUCAGCGACUUAUAUUCUGUAGCAAGGUUAACCGAAUAGGGGAGCCGAAGGGAAACCGAGUCUUAACUGGGCGUUAAGUUGCAGGGUAUAGACCCGAAACCCGGUGAUCUAGCCAUGGGCAGGUUGAAGGUUGGGUAACACUAACUGGAGGACCGAACCGACUAAUGUUGAAAAAUUAGCGGAUGACUUGUGGCUGGGGGUGAAAGGCCAAUCAAACCGGGAGAUAGCUGGUUCUCCCCGAAAGCUAUUUAGGUAGCGCCUCGUGAAUUCAUCUCCGGGGGUAGAGCACUGUUUCGGCAAGGGGGUCAUCCCGACUUACCAACCCGAUGCAAACUGCGAAUACCGGAGAAUGUUAUCACGGGAGACACACGGCGGGUGCUAACGUCCGUCGUGAAGAGGGAAACAACCCAGACCGCCAGCUAAGGUCCCAAAGUCAUGGUUAAGUGGGAAACGAUGUGGGAAGGCCCAGACAGCCAGGAUGUUGGCUUAGAAGCAGCCAUCAUUUAAAGAAAGCGUAAUAGCUCACUGGUCGAGUCGGCCUGCGCGGAAGAUGUAACGGGGCUAAACCAUGCACCGAAGCUGCGGCAGCGACACUAUGUGUUGUUGGGUAGGGGAGCGUUCUGUAAGCCUGUGAAGGUGUGCUGUGAGGCAUGCUGGAGGUAUCAGAAGUGCGAAUGCUGACAUAAGUAACGAUAAAGCGGGUGAAAAGCCCGCUCGCCGGAAGACCAAGGGUUCCUGUCCAACGUUAAUCGGGGCAGGGUGAGUCGACCCCUAAGGCGAGGCCGAAAGGCGUAGUCGAUGGGAAACAGGUUAAUAUUCCUGUACUUGGUGUUACUGCGAAGGGGGGACGGAGAAGGCUAUGUUGGCCGGGCGACGGUUGUCCCGGUUUAAGCGUGUAGGCUGGUUUUCCAGGCAAAUCCGGAAAAUCAAGGCUGAGGCGUGAUGACGAGGCACUACGGUGCUGAAGCAACAAAUGCCCUGCUUCCAGGAAAAGCCUCUAAGCAUCAGGUAACAUCAAAUCGUACCCCAAACCGACACAGGUGGUCAGGUAGAGAAUACCAAGGCGCUUGAGAGAACUCGGGUGAAGGAACUAGGCAAAAUGGUGCCGUAACUUCGGGAGAAGGCACGCUGAUAUGUAGGUGAAGUCCCUCGCGGAUGGAGCUGAAAUCAGUCGAAGAUACCAGCUGGCUGCAACUGUUUAUUAAAAACACAGCACUGUGCAAACACGAAAGUGGACGUAUACGGUGUGACGCCUGCCCGGUGCCGGAAGGUUAAUUGAUGGGGUUAGCCGCAAGGCGAAGCUCUUGAUCGAAGCCCCGGUAAACGGCGGCCGUAACUAUAACGGUCCUAAGGUAGCGAAAUUCCUUGUCGGGUAAGUUCCGACCUGCACGAAUGGCGUAAUGAUGGCCAGGCUGUCUCCACCCGAGACUCAGUGAAAUUGAACUCGCUGUGAAGAUGCAGUGUACCCGCGGCAAGACGGAAAGACCCCGUGAACCUUUACUAUAGCUUGACACUGAACAUUGAGCCUUGAUGUGUAGGAUAGGUGGGAGGCUUUGAAGUGUGGACGCCAGUCUGCAUGGAGCCGACCUUGAAAUACCACCCUUUAAUGUUUGAUGUUCUAACGUUGACCCGUAAUCCGGGUUGCGGACAGUGUCUGGUGGGUAGUUUGACUGGGGCGGUCUCCUCCUAAAGAGUAACGGAGGAGCACGAAGGUUGGCUAAUCCUGGUCGGACAUCAGGAGGUUAGUGCAAUGGCAUAAGCCAGCUUGACUGCGAGCGUGACGGCGCGAGCAGGUGCGAAAGCAGGUCAUAGUGAUCCGGUGGUUCUGAAUGGAAGGGCCAUCGCUCAACGGAUAAAAGGUACUCCGGGGAUAACAGGCUGAUACCGCCCAAGAGUUCAUAUCGACGGCGGUGUUUGGCACCUCGAUGUCGGCUCAUCACAUCCUGGGGCUGAAGUAGGUCCCAAGGGUAUGGCUGUUCGCCAUUUAAAGUGGUACGCGAGCUGGGUUUAGAACGUCGUGAGACAGUUCGGUCCCUAUCUGCCGUGGGCGCUGGAGAACUGAGGGGGGCUGCUCCUAGUACGAGAGGACCGGAGUGGACGCAUCACUGGUGUUCGGGUUGUCAUGCCAAUGGCACUGCCCGGUAGCUAAAUGCGGAAGAGAUAAGUGCUGAAAGCAUCUAAGCACGAAACUUGCCCCGAGAUGAGUUCUCCCUGACUCCUUGAGAGUCCUGAAGGAACGUUGAAGACGACGACGUUGAUAGGCCGGGUGUGUAAGCGCAGCGAUGCGUUGAGCUAACCGGUACUAAUGAACCGUGAGGCUUAACCUUACAACGCCGAAGCUGUU
rnacentral:rRNA from 1 species